rnacentral:rRNA from 1 species
AUGAUUCGUCAAUACUGGUGGGGAGUGGAAAAAGGGAAAAGGAAAAUGGCGUGGCUUAGUUGGGAGAAGAUGAGACUUCCGAAAGCCAUGGGCAGCAUGGGCUUCAGAGAUAUGAGAGCUUUCAACCAGGCUCUUCUUGCUAAACAAGCUUGGAGGCUUAUUGAAACACCUGAUAGUUUGUGUGCUAGACUGCUGAAAGCCAAGUACUUUGCUGCCGGCCAUCUUCUUGAUACAGUAUUCACAGGUAAUGGCUUGGCGGUGUGGAAGGGAAUUUUGCAUGGGCUUGAGCUGUUAAAGAAGGGUAUAAUUUGGCGCGUUGGGAAUGGAACGCUUAUCAGGACCUGGAGAGAUCCUUGGAUCCCACGGCCGUACUCUUACAGACCUAUCACCCGAAGCGCAAUUGUCGUUUUAAUAGAGUUUCUGAUUUUUGGAUAUGAAUGGUGCUUGGAGGAUGGACAGACUAAGAGAUCAUUUCUGGGCAAUGGAUAUAGAGCAUAUAUUAAAGAUACGGACUUCUCCGAGGUUGCGGACUGA